GGCCUAUCAGCUUGUUGGUAAGGUAAUGGCUUACCAAGGCUUCGACGGGUAGCGGGUGUGAGAGCAUGACCCGUCUCACUGGGACUGAGACACUGCCCAGACUCCUACGGGAGGCUGCAGUCAAGAAUCUUCCUCAAUGGCCGAAAGGCUGAAGGAGCGACGCCGCGUGCAUGAAGACGCCCCUCGGGGUGUAAAGUGCUUUUCUCUGGGACGAAAUUUUGACGGUACCAGAGGAAUAAGGGGCUGCUAACUUCGUGCCAGCAGCAGCGGUAAUACGAAGGCCCCAAGCGUUAUCCGGAUUUAUUGGGCGUAAAGGGUCCGUAGGCGGUUUGUCGCAUCUCCUGUUAAAUCAUCCGGCUUAACCGGGUGGCUGCGGGAGAGAUGGAUAAACUAGAGACCGGAAGAGGUAAGCGGAAUUGCUGGUGUAGGGGUUAAAUCCGUUAAUAUCAGCAGGAACACCGAAUGCGUAGGCAGCUUACUAAGACGGUUCUGACGCUCAGGGACGAAAGCGUGGGGAGCGAAUGGGAUUAGAUACCCCAGUAGUCCACGCCGUAAACGUUGGAUGCUAAGCAUUGAGAGUAUCGACCCUUUCAGUGCUGUUAUUUUAAGGUAACCCGUUAAGCACCCCGCCUGGGGAGUACG
rnacentral:rRNA from 1 species